UACAGAGGGUGCGAGCGUUAAUCGGAUUUACUGGGCGUAAAGCGUGCGUAGGCGGCUUUUUAAGUCGGAUGUGAAAUCCCUGAGCUUAACUUAGGAAUUGCAUUCGAUACUGGGAAGCUAGAGUAUGGGAGAGGAUGGUAGAAUUCCAGGUGUAGCGGUGAAAUGCGUAGAGAUCUGGAGGAAUACCGAUGGCGAAGGCAGCCAUCUGGCCUAAUACUGACGCUGAGGUACGAAAGCAUGGGGAGCAAACAGGAUUAAAAACCCGGGUAGUCC
rnacentral:rRNA from 1 species